rnacentral:rRNA from 1 species
GACGAACGCUGGCGGCGCGCCUAACACAUGCAAGUCGAACGAGCGAGAGAGACCUUGCUUUCUCGAGCGAGUGGCGAACGGGUGAGUAACGCGUGAGGAACCUGCCUCAAAGAGGGGGACAACAGUUGGAAACGACUGCUAAUACCGCAUAAGCCCACGGCCCGGCAGCGAGCAGGGGGAAAAGUAGCAAUUCGCUUUGAGAUGGCCUCGCGUCCGAUUAUCUAGGUGGUGGGGUAACGGCCCACCAAGGCGACGAUCGGUGGCCGGACGGGGGGGUUGAACGGCCACAAUGGGACUGAGACACGGACUCGAAUCGUACGGGAGGCAGCAGUGUGGAAUAUUGUAGGAGGGGGGAAAACGCGAUGAAGCGGCGUGGCGUGGAGGAAGAAGCUGUUCGGAUUGCAAUUUCCUGUUGGAGGGGAAGAUAGUGACGGUAAUGGACAAGGAAGCGACGGCUAACUACGUG